GAUUCAUCAAGGUGUCACUUAAUCAGGUGCAUUCAAAUGUAAAACAUUUUACCUUGUUUGGCUGGGUAACAUUCAAGAUAGCAGCAUUACAUUCCAUAUAUUGUUUCUGAAUCCAGUAUCUAGAAAUAUUAGUCUCUAAUCCCACUUUAUGUCAUUUCUUAUUUAAUCUCAUCAGUCACUUCUCUCUCGCACACACGCACACACACACACACACACACACACACACACACACACACACACACACACACACACACACACACACACACACACACACACACACACACACACACACACACACACACAUAAACGCAUGGGAGGGAGGGGAGAGGUAGUCCUCAGUGUUGUUUAGGUUGUUAGUACAGUAAGCUGUAUCCACUUUCAACUACAAUGCCAGAGAGAUUCUAUCCAUGCCAAGGCUUCCAAUAUUUAAAAUUGAUUGAGCUGCUUUGGAGACAGCAAAUGUUUCAUGACUGAUGCCAUGGAUGGGAACCUUGAGUCUGGAGAUGAGAACAAAAAGAGAUCAGAGUUGUGCUAUGUAAUAGACGACCUAAGUGCACAACAUGCUCCUAAUGGAUUGGACCACACAGGUCUGUCACAUUCAGAAACUCCUAUUGAUGAGAAAUCUGAAUUUCAUCACCAGAACAUCUGUAUAACCUUACCAACAGACAACAUGAAUGAAGCACAACAAUGGUCGGUGGCAAAAUACCAACCACAGCUUACUUCCCCACAGUUGACCCCCGCAAAGCAUUGCCCACCAUACCAAAUGAGACAGCCAUCCACUUCAAUCAGCAAGAGCAGCCACAAAUCUUCUGCUGCACAGAUCCACCAAGUGGAUGGAGAUGGCCUGUGUGCCUCCAUCCUGUUGGCAUGUCUGUUCUGCCAGCCUUGGGACUGUUUACUGGCCACGGGGAAAGGAUGCCAUGUCUGUGCCUCGUCCCUGUGCUCUUCCCUAUGCUCCACAGUGUGCUGCUGUGAGCCUGAUUCCCUGGAGCCUCUGCUGGACACGUCCCAUCACUGUGGCUGCUGUGGGUGUCUGGAUGCCCACUGUUGCCUGUGUGGAGGUCCAGGAUUUGAGUGCUGUGUCUGUGAUACAUGCAUACAUGCCACAGAGUGUCUGGAUCUAGGCAUGGAGAUCUCACAAAUGCUCUUCCACUAACCAGAUCAGUGUCAAACAAAUGUGAACACUGUAAAGAGUCAGAUAUUGUAGAGAUUGUGUGGGCCAAACUCAAAGGACAGUAAUGAAUCCACUAAAUCGUCUAAUAAAUGUAGCUGUUGUACAGUGGAGGCUCAUAACAAUGUCCGGAACGGAGUUAAUGGAAUGGCACCAAACACCUGGGAACCAUGUUUUUGAUGUAUUUGAUACCAUUCCACUGAUUUCGUUCCAAUCAUUGCCAGGAGCCCGUUCUCCCCAAUUAAGUUGCCACCAACCUCCUGUGGUGUUGCAUUUAGAUCUUGGGGUAACUGACAACGUCUACUUGGUUCUUUGUAUUUCUUAGUCUGCACUGGCAACCGUAUUUUCUAACCAAUGACUCAAGGUGAACCACAAUGUAAAAGAGAGCUCACUGUAACCACACACAGACAACUCUGUGAUCAUUUAUUGCUGUUUAUAAGCUGUCUCGAUAUUGGCAGCAGAGAGAAAGGAUAGGAAGUGAGUGUGACUAUUGAGAGGGUACCGCUGCACUUUAAAUUAAUUGAGGUUAGUGAUGAACUAAAUCAUGAAUCUGCUCAUAUACAAGUGUACAUUUAAUUCAGAGCAUAGUGGCCCUAAGUGCUGAGUGAGUUGGGGAUGGGGUAAAUUAUCUGGAAUUCUUAGCUGCAAGGAAAACAUCAGCAUUUAGAAAGACAACUGAGAAUGAAAAAUUAACAACAGCAUGGUAAUAUUAUUAUGGACAAUAAAGAGUAUGAAUUCUACAAAUGUAAUGUAUUGGGCACAUUUUCAGUAUGGCUUGAUAUUCAGAAGUUUCUUAGGUAUACUGUAUACAUUUAUAGAAAAUUAGUGUUGAUAUUCU
rnacentral:lncRNA from 8 species